rnacentral:rRNA from 1 species
CAGUCGCCGCGGUAAUACGGAGGGUGCAAGCGUUAAUCGGAAUUACUGGGCGUAAAGCGCACGCAGGCGGUCUGACAAGUCAGAUGUGAAAUCCCCGGGCUUAACCUGGGAACUGCAUUUGAAACUGUCAGGCUGGAGUCUUGUAGAGGGGGGUGGAAUUCCAGGUGUAGCGGUGAAAUGCGUAGAGAUCUGGAGGAAUACCGGUGGCGAAGGCGGCCCCCUGGACAAAGACUGACGCUCAGGUGCGAAAGCGUGGGGAGCAAACAGGAUUAGAUACCUGAGUAGUCCCUGUCUCUUAUAU